CAUUGCGACUUACCAACCCAUGGCAAACUAAGAAUACCAUCAAGUGGUUCCUCGGGAGACAGACAUCGGGUGCUAACGUCCGGUGUCAAGAGGGAAACAACCCAGACCGCCAGCUAAGGUCCCAAAUGACAGAUUAAGUGGUAAACGAAGUGGGAAGGCCCAGACAGCCAGGAUGUUGGCUUAGAAGCAGCCAUCAUUUAAAGAAAGCGUAAUAGCUCACUGGUCGAGUCGUCCUGCGCGGAAGAUGUAACGGGGCUCAAAUCUGUAACCGAAGCUGCGGAUGUACUUUUAGUGCAUGGGAGGGGAGCGUUCUGUAUGCCUGCGAAGGUGUCUCGUAAGGGAUGCUGGAGGUAUCAGAAGUGCGAAUGUUGACAUGAGUAGCGAUAAAGCGGGUGAAAAGCCCGCUCGCCGAAAGCCCAAGGUUUCCUACGCAACGUUCAUCGGCGUAGGGUGAGUCGGCCCCUAAGGCGAGGCAGAAAUGCGUAGUCGAUGGGAAACGGGUUAAUAUUCCCGUACUUUGAUUCAAUGCGAUGUGGGGACGGAGAAGGUUAGGUUAGCAAACUGUUGGAAUAGUUUGUUUAAGCCGGUAGGUGGAAGACUUAGGCAAAUCCGGGUCUUCAUAACACCGAGAAGUGACGACGAGUGUCUACGGACACGAAGUAACCGAUACCACGCUUCCAGGAAAAGCCACUAAGCUUCAGUUGGAUCAGAACCGUACCGCAAACCGACACAGGUGGGCAGGAUGAGAAUUCUAAGGCGCUUGAGAGAACUCGGGAGAAGGAACUCGGCAAAUUGAUACCGUAACUUCGGGAGAAGGUAUGCCCUCUAAUGUGAAAGACUUGCUCUGUAGGCAUAGGAGGGUCGCAGAGAAUCGGUGGCUGCGACUGUUUAUUAAAAACACAGCACUCUGCAAACACGAAAGUGGACGUAUAGGGUGUGACGCCUGCCCGGUGCUGGAAGGUUAAUUGAAGAUGUGAGAGCAUCGGAUCGAAGCCCCAGUAAACGGCGGCCGUAACUAUAACGGUCCUAAGGUAGCGAAAUUCCUUGUCGGGUAAGUUCCGACCCGCACGAAUGGCGUAACGAUGGCCACACUGUCUCCUCCCGAGACUCAGCGAAGUUGAAGUGGUUGUGAAGAUGCAAUCUACCCGCUGCUAGACGGAAAGACCCCGUGAACCUUUACUGUAGCUUUGCAUUGGACUUUGAAGUCACUUGUGUAGGAUAGGUGGGAGGCUUAGAAGCAGAGACGCCAGUCUCUGUGGAGCCGUCCUUGAAAUACCACCCUGGUGUCUUUGAGGUUCUAACCCAGACCCGUGAUCCGGGUCGGGGACCGUGCAUGGUAGGCAGUUUGACUGGGGCGGUCUCCUCCCAAAGAGUAACGGAGGAGUUCGAAGGUUACCUAGGUCCGGUCGGAAAUCGGACUGAUAGUGCAAUGGCAAAAGGUAGCUUAACUGCGAGACCGACAAGUCGAGCAGGUGCGAAAGCAGGACAUAGUGAUCCGGUGGUUCUGUAUGGAAGGGCCAUCGCUCAACGGAUAAAAGGUACUCCGGGGAUAACAGGCUGAUUCCGCCCAAGAGUCCAUAUCGACGGCGGAGUUUGGCACCUCGAUGUCGGCUCAUCACAUCCUGGGGCUGUAGUCGGUCCCAAGGGUAUGGCUGUUCGCCAUUUAAAGUGGUACGUGAGCUGGGUUUAAAACGUCGUGAGACAGUUUGGUCCCUAUCUGCAGUGGGCGUUGGAAGUUUGACGGGGGCUGCUCCUAGUACGAGAGGACCGGAGUGGACGAACCUCUGGUGUACCGGUUGUCACGCCAGUGGCAUCGCCGGGUAGCUAAGUUCGGAAGAGAUAAGCGCUGAAAGAAUCUAAGCGCGAAACUCGCCUGAAGAUGAGACUUCCCUUGCGGUUUAACCGCACUAAAGAGUCGUUCGAGACCAGGACGUUGAUAGGUGGGGUGUGGAAGCGCGGUAACGCGUGCAGCUAACCCAUACUAAUUGCUCGUGAGGCUUGACUCU
rnacentral:ncRNA from 1 species